rnacentral:rRNA from 1 species
AGAGUACGUGAAACCGUUCAGGGGUAAACCUGCGAAACUCGAAUGAACGAACGGAGAGAUUCAUCGUCAAUCCGCGGCGUACCUGCGUGUACUCUUCGAUGUCGCGUGUACCGCGGUCGGUGACGAUCGUGCGUCUCGCGGCACGGGUCACGCUCGUCGACGUCCACGGACGGCGUGCACUUCUCUCUCAGUAUAAAUAUGCAUCGCGACCCGUUCGAUGUCGGUCUAAGCGCCGCGCGGGAGCCUAGCGGCUCCGCUCCUCACGGGGCCCAGCCGCUAGACCGCCGCGGUGGCCGACCGGCCGUCGGACGGUUCUUACGGACACACUAUCGAAUCGCGCACGCGUGUUCUCGAACAGCGCGUCCGGCCCGACGCAAGACCUCGUCGCAGUCCGGCCGUCUGCCUUUGUGCGACACCGGACUCGGCGGAUCUGCAUCAUUAGAUAGCUGCCGUGCAGUCUCGGACCGUGCGCGUGUCAAGUCUGCGAUGAUUCAGUUUCGGG